rnacentral:rRNA from 1 species
UUGGGCCUAAACGUCCGUAGCCGGUCUGGUACAUUCGUGGGUAAAUCAACCCGCUCAACGGGUUGAAUUCUGCGAGCACGGCCAGACUUGGGACCGGGAGAGGUGUGGGGUACUCUCAGGGUAGGGGUAAAAUCCUGUCAUCCUGAGAGGACCACCUGUUGCGAAGGCGCCACACUAGAACGGAUCCGACGGUCAGGGACGAAACCUAGGGGCACGAACCGGAUUAGAUACCCGGGUAGUCCUAGGUGUAAACGCUGUGGACUUGAUGUUGGGGGCGCUCCGAGCGCUCUCAGUGUCGAAGCGAAGGUGAUAAGUCCACUGCCUGGGGAGUACGGUCGCAAGGCUGAAACUUAAAGGAAUUGGCGGGGGAGCA